GGUGGACACCCAUGCUAGCUCAUUUGGUAAAGCAUUGCAUUCAAAAUCCAAGGAUCAUGGUUUCAAUACCCAUCCAUGCCA